rnacentral:sRNA from 1 species
GUUAGAGUGUAGGUUGCAUGGGGAGAAUGGCUGGAGGAGUAGGUUUUGCCAGGCUGAGAGGUUUAAAUAUCUUUGAAAGAACCCUGUAUGAAGGCAGGAUGGAUAUUGUUAUUCUCAUUUUCAGGUGAGGAAACUUAGGUUCAGGUCCCAUGUGGAGUAAGUGGCAGGUAUGGUAUUAGAACUCAGUUCUGAUUCUCUGUCCACUCCACUGCAAGGUAGAUGCUUAUUAGUUGCAUUAGUGUGAAUGACAAGUUCUGAAGGUGUGAUAUUGGAAGGCUCACAGGUGAAGUGGGCAGAGAGACUUAGGACUUGCUUUCUGGGAACUAUGUGUUCUCCUUUCCCUGCCCUGAACUCCAGGUGCAGCAGUUCCUGCGGCAAGCCCAGCGGGGGACAGAGGAAAAGGAGAGAGAGGGGGCUCUGGUCAGCCUUCGUCGAGGCUUGCAACACCCUGAAACACAGCAAACCUUCAUCCGGCUGGAGGGCAGCAUGCGGACCCUGGUCGGGCUCCUGACCAGCAACCAGGCCCUGCUGCAGCUUGAGGCGGCUCGGUGCCUGCAUGAGCUCUCUCACUCCGAGCAGUCCACCGUUGCUGAGGCCUGCCUGCCAGCCACUUCCUACCUCCUCACCUACCUCUCCGGUCACAGCUCAGACUUCAUAGAGCUGUGUCUGUAUACACUGGGUAACCUGAUCGUGGAGAGUGAGGCUGUGAGAAGGCAGCUCCUGCCACAGGGCAUUGUUCCAGCCUUGGCUGCCUGCAUCCAGUCCCCCCAUGUGGCUGUGCUGGAAGCUCUCGGAUAUGCCUUGUCCCAGCUUCUACAGGCUGAGGAAGCUCCAGAGAAGAUCAUUCCCUCCAUCUUGGCCUCCACUCUCCCUCAGCACAUGCUACAAAUGUUGCAACCUGGCCCAAAGCUGAACCCUGGGGUCGCUGUGGAGUUUGCCUGGUGCCUUCAUUACAUCAUCUGCAGCCAGGUCAGCAAUCCUCUGCUCAUUGGCCAUGGGGCUCUGUCUACUCUGGGGUUGCUGCUGUUGGACUUGGCUGGGGCUGUCCAGAGAACUGAGGAUGCAGGACUGGAGCUGCUGGCAUGCCCCGUGCUUCGAUGUCUAAGCAACCUGCUAACUGAGGCAGCAGUGGAGACUGUGGGAGGGCAAAUGCAGCUCAGAGAUGAGCGUGUUGUGGCAGCCUUAUUUAUCCUUCUGCAGUUCUUUUUCCAGAAACAGCCCAGUCUGCUCCCUGAGGGCCUCUGGCUCCUCAACAACCUCACUGCAAUCAGUCCUAGUUUCUGUACCUCCUUGCUCUCCCUGGAUCUGAUUGAGCCUCUCUUACAGCUGUUGCCAGUAUCUAAUGUGGUGAGCGUAAUGGUGCUCACAGUUCUGUGCAAUGUUGCAGAAAAGGGUCCUGCUUACUGCCAGCGGCUGUGGCCAGGGCCCCUGCUUCCCGCCUUGCUGCACACACUAGCCUUUUCUGACACUGAAGUAGUAGGCCAGAGUUUGGAGCUGCUGCAUCUGCUAUUCCUGUAUCAGCCAGAGGCUGUUCAGGUCUUCCUGCAGCAGUCAGGGCUGCAGGCCCUGGAAAGGCAUCAGGAAGAGGCCCAGCUCCAGGAUCGUGUGUAUGCUCUCCAGCAGACAGCUCUUCAAGGGUGAUCUUGUUUCUCAAUGUCAGUCAUUCCCCUCUCUAACAUCAAGCUUGUUUGUCCAGUAGAGCUUUUGGAGAUUUAGGACCAUAAUGAGGUCUCAUGUUCUCUGCUCCCACACCUAAGCCAAGACCUUUGGGUCCCAGCUCCUCCUCUUUGACUCAGCACUAUCUAGGCAGGAGGACCAAAAGGGACUCAGUGUGGUCUACUUACUCUGGGGCCCUAGAAUCCCUGCCCCAACCCUUCAUUUUUCCUUCAGCAGCUGGUAGCUUUUGAUGAGACAGAAUAAAGUUUUAUUUUUAUAUUAAGCUA